rnacentral:snRNA from 1 species
GUGCUCACUUUGGCAGCACGUAUACUAAGACUGGAAUGAUACAGAGAAGAUUAGUAUGGCCCCCAUGCAAGGAUGACACACAAAUUCAUGAAGCAUUCCAUAUUUAA